CAUGUAACACUGCUGCCCACUGGCCUGGCUACCCUGAUUGGCUGUUGCCUGCAAUUCCAGUGCUGCCUCUUUGGGAACUGUUGGGGCCACCACUGCUCACUGCUCUGGACUAAAGGUCUUAGGGGAAAAGCCAGAGCUUCCAGAUGGAGGCAAUGAUGAUGACAUUAUAGCAGACAUAAGUAACAGGAAAAUGGCUAAACUAUACAUGGUUUCAGAUGCGAGUGGCUCCAUGAGAGUGACUGUGGUGGCAGAAGAAAACCCCUUCUCAAUGGCAAUGCUGCUGUCUGAAGAAUGCUUUAUUUUGGACCACGGGGCUGCAAAACAAAUUUUUGUAUGGAAAGGUAAAGAUGCUAAUCCCCAAGAGAGGAAGGCUGCAAUGAAGACAGCUGAAGAAUUUCUACAGCAAAUGAAUUAUUCCAAGAAUACCCAAAUUCAAGUUCUUCCAGAAGGAGGUGAAACACCAAUCUUCAAACAGUUCUUUAAGGACUGGAGAGAUAAAGAUCAGAGUGAUGGCUUCGGGAAAGUUUAUGUCACAGAGAAAGUGGCUCAAAUAAAACAAAUUCCCUUUGAUGCCUCAAAAUUACACAGUUCUCCGCAGAUGGCAGCCCAGCACUAUAUGGUGGAUGAUGGUUCUGGCAAAGUGGAGAUUUGGCGUGU
rnacentral:sRNA from 1 species